rnacentral:rRNA from 1 species
UACGAAGGGGGCUAGCGUUGCUCGGAUUGACUGGGCGUAAAGGGCGCGUAGGCGGCUUGUACAGUCAGACGUGAAAUUCCUGGGCUCAACCUGGGGGCUGCGUUUGAUACGUGCGGGCUUGAGUUCGGAAGAGGGUCGUGGAAUUCCCAGUGUAGAGGUGAAAUUCGUAGAUAUUGGGAAGAACACCGGUGGCGAAGGCGGCGACCUGGUCCGAUACUGACGCUGAGGCGCGAAAGCGUGGGGAGCAAACAGG